UAUUAUUUCUGGUGAUUAACAUUUUGUGUUCCAUUUGGGCGACUUUUUCCCAUCCAGCAAAUUCAUUACUCAUUUCUUAGUUUCACCAUAUUAGACACAUUAUAAAUCAAUGAACACAGUUUUUCCAGUGUAUAACUCUGAAGCACUCACUUUUUAUAGAAAUUCUCAGAAAUGUACAUUUCGGCAGGGAAAUUGUUCCGAACCGACGAAUCUAAUUUUCAAAAUAACACUUCAAACUAUAACAAAAGUUACAUAUCUAUAUAUAAUUCAAACAUUAUUUCUGGACUAUUAUGCAGUUCUAGAGAUAACCAAACAAACAGCAGUCCUCCUUUUAUUAGAGUUAUGUUCCUUAUUAUAGAAAAAUCAAUAAGUCAUUUACCCUUUAUGUAACUGAUUUAAACUCUAUGAUAACACUUGACUGUUUUGUUUCAGCGCCCCACAUUUAACGGAGAUCCAUAUAAGAUUCCACCAUCCUAUAAUGAAUUGCAUUAUCAAGAUGUAAUGAGACGUCUGGUAAACAGAUAUAUUCAUCAUACCAAGAAACAAAAACAAGAAGGAAGUGUUAAUGAAGAUGAUCUCCUGGAAAUUAAACAAGAUAUAUCUAGUCUUAGAUAUGAACUGAGAGAAGACAAAAUGAGAGACGGUGGAAAAACAUCUAAUUAUCUUGAUUGUCUUCGAGGUGAUAUUCGCAAAGAAUUUCAGAAGAUUUCGCCUAUACCGCACCCUAAAUUUGAGACGACGACGCAAACUAAUUAUCAGUGUUACAACGAUAAAAUCCCCAAAAAUGGUGACUCGGCGAAUCAAUCAAGUUCAGGAAAAUAUGCCACGUUAUCAAACAACUCAAAAACUAAAUACCAACAAUAUAAUGAUCGAAUACCAAGAAUUCCUGAAUGGGAAAGUCCGUGUAGUAGUAGUGAAAGACUUACAAGCGCUAGUGAUCGGGACCAGCUUAAAAUAGAAAUGAUAUCAUUACUCCGCGAGGUGUUACAGGAAAUGCAGACGGACAAGGGAGUUAAUUCACUUCCUGUAAAUGGAACUGAUCUUUACCAGACGCAUUUGUACACUCAAUUAUGAAAAAAGUCAUGAAAGAUUAGAUUUCUAAAGAGUUGAUAUAGUCUGGUCUACGGGUUAUUGUGUUUACUUCAUUGAUUGCAUUUUUAAUUGAAUGUUCUCGUCCAGAAGAUAUGCAAUGCGGUUGAUUUUUCCCUACUCAAUACAAACAUAGUAAACAAAUCUGCAGUCCUGUAGUAAUGUUUUGAACUUAUUGUAAUGGUAUUUUUUUAUUAUAAGACUGUAAUUUAUAUGCAUGUUAUAAACAUCGAUUCGUUUUUUAUUUAAACAUAUCAUACAAUUUUUUUUUAUAAUGACAAAGAUGU